GACGAACCGUGCGAACGUUAUUCGGAAUCACUGGGCUUAAAGCGCGUGUAGGCGGAUGGGGACGUCGGUUGCUGAAAUCCCCCGGCUCAACCGGGGAACUGGCACCGAAACGCCCCGUCUGGAGGGACGUAGGGGGACCUGGAACUUCCGGUGGAGCGGUGAAAUGCGUUGAGAUCGGAAGGAACGCCCGUGGCGAAAGCGAGGUCCUGGACGUCUUCUGACGCUGAGACGCGAAAGCUAGGGGAGCGAACGGG
rnacentral:rRNA from 1 species